rnacentral:lncRNA from 1 species
AGGUCAAUAAAUAAAGUGGCACAACAUUGUUUCUUGUCUACAGCAGAGGCUAUGUCAUUUACCACAAGGGUUGUUGCAGUAAUGGUACUGAUAUGAUGGGGUCUUGGUUAGACCUGAUAUGAUGGGGUCUUGGUUAGAUCUAAUAUGAUGGGGUCUUGGGUAGAUCUGAUAUAAUGUGGUCUUGGUUAGAUCUGAUAUGAUGGGGUCUUGUUUUGUAUGUCUGUUAGAUUUGAUAUGAUGGGGUCUUGUUUUGUAUGUCUGUUAGAUUUGAUAUGAUGGGGUCUUGUUUUGUAUGUCUGUUAGAUUUGAUAUGAUGGGGUCUUGGUUAGAUCUAAUAUGAUGGGGUCUUGGUUAGAUCUGAUAUGAUGUGGUCUUGGUUAGAUCUGAUAUGAUGGGGUCUUGGUUAGUGUAGUGGUUAGAUCUGAUAUGAUGGGGUCUUGGUUAGAUCUGAUAUGAUGGGGUCUUGUUUUGUAUGUCUGUUAGAUUUGAUAUGUUGGUGGUCCCAUUUCGCUAUGUGGGGGGGUGAUCUGACCUUGAUCUGAUCUGAAGCUAAAAAUGUUUUUAUGUUCUGUUUGGCACCAGGUGAUGCGG